rnacentral:rRNA from 1 species
UACGUAGGGUGCGAGCGUUGUCCGGAAUUACUGGGCGUAAAGCGCGUGUAGGCGGUCCGGUAAGUCCGCUGUGAAAGUCGGGGGGCUCAACCCUCGGAUGCCGGUGGAUACUGUCGGGCUUGAGUACGGAAGAGGCGAGUGGAAUUCCUGGUGUAGCGGUGAAAUGCGCAGAUAUCAGGAGGAACACCAAUUGCGAAGGCAGCUCGCUGGGACGUUACUGACGCUGAGACGCGAAAGCGUGGGGAGCAAACAGG